rnacentral:rRNA from 1 species
UACAGAGGUCUCAAGCGUUGUUCGGAUUCAUUGGGCGUAAAGGGGGCGUAGGUGGCGCGGUAAGUCGGGUGUGAAAUCUCGGAGCUUAACUCCGAGCGGUCGUGGGAAACUGGGCGGCUAGAGUGCGGGAGAGGAGAGUGGAAUUCCUGGUGUAGCGGUGGAAUGCGCAGAUAUCAGGAAGAACCCCCGUGGCGAAGGCGGCUCUCUGGAACGCAACUGACGCUGAGACGCGAAAGCGUGGGGAGCAAACAGG